CCUACGGGUGGCAGCAGUGAGGAAUAUUGGUCAAUGGUCGGGAGACUGAACCAGCCAAGCCGCGUGAGGGAUGAAGGUACAGAGUAUUGUAAACCUCUUUUGUCAGGGAACAAAGGCGGGGACGUGUCCCCGGAUGAGUGUACCUGAAGAAAAAGCAUCGGCUAACUCCGUGCCAGCAGCCGCGGUAAUACGGAGGAUGCGAGCGUUAUCCGGAUUUAUUGGGUUUAAAGGGUGCGCAGGGGGGCUGUUAAGUCAGGGGUCAAAGCCGGGGGCUCAACCCGGGCCGGCCGUUGAAACUGGCAGUCUAGAGUUGAGGAGAGGUAUGCGGAAUGCGCGGUGUAGCGGUGAAAUGCAUAGAUAUCGCGAAGAACUCCGAUUGCGAAGGCAGCAUGCUGGCUCCACACUGACGCUGAGGCACGAAAGCGUGGGUAUCGAACAGGAUUAGAUACCCUUGUAGUC
rnacentral:rRNA from 1 species